AGAAAUAUAAAUACCAGAUCAUCGGUUUCAAAAAAUGGGUGGGUGACAACUCUAGUGCUCUAUCGUGGAAUAACAAAUAAGUUUCAGCUUAUGUGACACCUCACUUCAACAGUACUGGCUACUUUGAGUGCUGUGCUGAGAAGGCUGCUAAGUGCAGUGAGGGGGAAAUUCUGCAGAGAUGUGCAUAAACUCAUCGCAGCUGCUCUACCAUCUGACAACCUGAUGGUCAUGGGGGACCUCAAUGCACGUGUUGGUGGUAGUGCCAAAAUGUGGAAGAAAAUUAUUGGACCACAGAGGAUUAGUCUCUUCCUGCAUGGUGAACAGACCGAGCAAUAACUUGUAAUCACAGACAACAGCGUCAAUCAUAUAAGUUAGGAGAAAAAUAUCAUGGAUAUGCCACAAAUCAAAAACAGUGACAUCACACCCAUUCUGCCAUUGUUUCACAGCAGAAUGCCAACAAGCUGACAAUCUGAAUGGGUCUGAGAUCGUUACCCAAUAUGCUUCAAAUCAGGAGAACAUACGGGUGGGUGUUGUGCAGUACCUCUGAGAUUGAUAUUUUAAUAAAUUCAAAUCACAGCAAAUAAUAGUACUAAUAAGUAAGUUUUCAAGGAUAAUAGAGCAACCAUUAUCAUCUUGGUCGUUACUUGCCUAUAAACACACCAAAUUUCCAACAAUAUUGUGGAAUUUUUCAUUAUAUAACAUUACUUUUAGUGGUUUCCCAACUCUGCAAUAUUGUAAUUCUGGUUACUCCAUGACAUUUCCACCUCCUUACCCACACUAUAUGCAUCUGUUGAAAUCUCAACUACUUUAAAAGCUCAGCUCAAGUGUCACUUUUUCUUUAAACUUGCUCUUCCCACGCUAGAUUGAAGUUAUCUUUUUCUCCUCAGAAGACUGUAACAUAUCUUUGGUAAAUGCUAGGGACUUAAGAAUAUGUACUUUUAUUAUAGUUACGUAUAUGUCUUAAUUGACCUACAAAAUGUUUUGCCUUCUGCAGUGCAGAAAACUUCAUAUGCCCAUUUUGUUUUCCAAGCGCAAAUAUUAGUUACACAGUAAGUCCUCAAUUAAUAGUGUUUAAUCAAAGCUAUGUUAGUUUGGGUCUGACACUGAUUUGAGCACCAUAUUUUGCUUCCAGAUUCCUCCAGGACCCUGUUUCCUGAAGUCAGUUUGAUUAUGUCCUUCAAAUUGGUAUUUAGAGAAUGAUGGCUUCUAUUUUUCUCCUUUAAGUGUCCUAAGACCAUACAGAGUGUCUAGUCCUAGCAGUGUUCAAGGACAGUGAUUUCAGCUCUGAUUUGUCAAAGAAAAAAUUGGCCAUAUGCAGUCUCCAUGGUAAAAGCUAGUGGUAAAUUCACUUCAUGCCUCCUUGCAAACUGGCUUUCUAAAAUACCAUGGAUAAACUUCUAUAAUAUCCAUAAAGAAACAAUUAUUUUCAAUGAUGUGAAAUGAAUGUUUAAUAUCCUUUUCCUGAUUAGCCUGUUCUUUUGACCAAUUUUCUCAAUGAUCCUUUUUUCUUAGAGAAGGUUGUAUCCACUAAUUGAAUUAAAAUUCAAGUGUUUAAUACUUUAAAAUAAUAGUCAAGUGUGGUAAGAAAUUCAUGAUGGGGGGAAAUCAAAGUCUAAGUUUCUGAGAACACAAUGGUAGUAAAUGUAAGAAAAAUGAUCUCGUAUGAAAUGAAGUGAGUUCUAUGACAUCACAACAUGGGUUCUAGCCUGAGGUUAGUGUGUGAAAGUUUAAUAAACCCUUCUCUACGUUUCUUUCUCUCUGACAAUACCCUCCUCCAAUGGAAGGUUCUGUAUGAGUUCAUUUAUAAAGGCCAGGUUCCCAGAACUUAAUAAAAUAAAAUAUUUUUUUAAAAGGCCGUGUAAAGUGUUUUGAUCUAACUAGCGAUGUAUUUUAUGUAAAAAUAUGGCUACUUCACAAAACUGUUUGAACCAAGCUAUCACUUGGGCAGGACAAAGUCAAGUGCUGAAAAAAAAUGAAACUUACUUUGCAGAUCAUUAAAAUAUGC
rnacentral:lncRNA from 10 species